rnacentral:rRNA from 1 species
UGCAACUCGACUCCAUGAAGCUGGAUUCGCUAGUAAUCGCGCAUCAGCCAUGGCGCGGUGAAUACGUUCCCGGGCCUUGUACACACCGCCCGUCAAGCCAUGGGAGUCGGGAGUGCCUGAAGUUCGUGACCGUUUAGGAGCGACCUAGGGCAAGACUGAUGACUGGGGCUAAGUCGUAACAAGGUACC